UGUGUUGGCCAAAAAGUUCGUUCGGGUUUUUCGUAAGAUUAUACGGAAAGACCCGAACAAAAUUUUUGGCCAGCCCA
rnacentral:miRNA from 1 species